UUUUUUUAUAUAUAUAUUAUGUAUCAAAUUGGUUGGGAUAAGUAUCAAAACAAUAUGAAUUUGUAGUACGCAGCAUGUGGCAAAGGAUGAUGUCUCCCACUGCCAACACAUGGCAAAGUGGGGGUCAUACCAUUAAAUACUAGUUUGCUAAUUUUUGGACAAAAUGAUGUAGAAUAUCUUCCUCCCUCAUUUGUAUGAACAAUAGCAAUAUUCUUACUUUCCUUGUUUGUAGUUGUAUGGGACAAAGUGCAGCACUUUAAAUAGAGAUUUCACUCUGCACGAAUCCUCUCAUAAAUUUUAAAUUUCAACUCUAAUCUUAAACACGAUUAUCCUCCAAUGAUUUUCCGAUUUUAACGUCGAUUCCUUCAUGUAAAGGUUGGGGGAUAAAAUUAUUAAGCUACUAAUUUCAUUUCUUUUAAGAUUCUGGUACAAAGAGAAGUUGCAACAUUCCUUUCCAUUUCUGGAAACUUUUUCAUUUUAAGAACAGAGUACGCACAAAGUUUUCCUCCCAAUAAAGAAAUAGCAUUUUCCUUCCAAAACGCAGCAGCAACGUUUUAUUUUAUUUUGAGUGGAUUGGAAAUUUCUUUGAAGUGAAGUAAGCUGGAAGAAGAAUUUCUUGGCAUAUAAGACUUACGAGCUCGAGAAGUAGACGUUGGGCGAUUAGAUAGAUUCCCAGGCUCGCAGGUACAGACACUCGUUUUGGUGAUCCGCCAGCUUAGGAUAUCUAUUCAGCUAUCUUGGAGUGCUCCCUCUUUCCGGAGCCCAUAUUUUGGUACAGAUUCUCCUGUUGUAUAUGUGUGUUUAUCCAGGGGUACGGCGGGGCCCUGUCCUGUCAUAUGAUAUCGUUGUUACUCUUAGAGGUCUGUAGACACAUGUGUGGGUCUGUAUAUAGUUGCUGCUUAGUUGUGUAGACAUGACUUACGUUUUGGGGCGUACCCAUUCGUAGUGGCAGCCAUGUCGGCUUGCGUAGAUAUAUAUGUAUGUGUUUUGGAAGCCGUGUGUUAUGGUAGCCUUGUUGGCGUGUAUGGCUGGGGCGUUCCCCCUAUAUGGUGAUAGCCUUGUCGGCUUGUGUGCGAUAUUAUUUGUUGAAAGUUGUAACUCCUCAGGAGACAGGUUGCUAUGAUGUAUAUAUAUGUGACAGUGUUAGGAUGA